rnacentral:rRNA from 1 species
UUUGCCAUCAUUGAGUUGGGCACUCUAAAGGAACCGGCUCCGGUUAACGGGGGAGGAAGGUGGGGAUGACGUCAAGUCCUCAUGGCCUUUAUGCCCAGGGCUACACACGUGCUACAAUGGCCAGUACAAAGGGCUGCGAAUCCGCAGGGUAAGCAAAUCCCAAAAACCUGGUCUCAGUUCGGAUUGGAGUCUGCAACUCGACUCCAUGAAGUCGGAAUCGCUAGUAAUCGCAGAUCAGCGUGCUGCGGUGAAUACGUUCCCGGGCCUU